UACAGAGGGGGCAAGCGUUGUUCGGAAUUACUGGGCGUAAAGGGCGCGUAGGCGGCCUUCUAAGUCGAACGUGAAAUCCCCGGGCUCAACCGGGGAACUGCGUCUGAUACUGGCGGGCUUGAAUUCGGGAGAGGGAUGUGGAAUUCCAGGUGUAGCGGUGAAAUGCGUAGAUAUCUGGAGGAACACCGGUGGCGAAGGCGGCAUCCUGGACCGACAUUGACGCUGAGGCGCGAAAGCCAGGGGAGCAAACGGG
rnacentral:rRNA from 1 species